GCGGCAGCUCCCGAGCCGAGCCGAGCCGUGCGGCGGAGCGCGCCCGGAGUGCGGAGCGUCUCCUUUUCCUCUGCGUGUUGGUCGUGCCCUUCCCGGCAGGACUCACACGGCGCGGCCUGGCAGCGCUGAGGCCCCUUGAGCGGGUUCCCCGCGGUUGCCAGGGCCCGCCCGGGCGGGCAGGGGCUGUCGGGGAGCGGGAGGAGCCGGGCCUGCGGGCGCCCGCGGCCCGUGGCGGGGGCGCUGAGGGAGCCGUCGAGUCCGCUGGGCUUCGUGUCGGUUGGGGUUGGCUCUUGGGGUCUGCAGCUGCCAGAGAAUGUCUGCAGAGCUGCUGAGUCCUUCGGAGGGCUCUAAAAGGGAGGGGGAAAAGCGGGAGAUGACAAGAGAGGACGGAGCUGGCUUGAAGCCGCAUCGUGAGAGGCGACGAGGAGUCAGAGCAUCUGUGGGAUUUCCUGAAUCCUCGAUAAAGAUAAGAUCUUCAGUGAGGUGUCACGGGAGUCGGGAUAUCAGCAGGCUCCAAAGUCUGUAAAGGCUGGCAUGGGGCAGAGCACUGUUUGGGAAGCUGUGUUGGGAGCACUCAGGUCUUGACACCGCUGCUAAUAGGUGGUUAUUACAGCCCAUUUUGCUGAGAGCUGCGGUUUGACUCUAACAGCUGCUCUGGCGAUAGAGUAUUUUACCUCAUCUAGAAGACAUAAACAUCACAUACCUUUAAAAUACUCCUCUGUAUUUCAUAUUUUGAAUUAAACAUUGUUAUAAGGUUAGUAAGUUAGUGUAUAAAAAGGAUACGGUUACAUAAAACAGAAGCAUUACCUUGGUAAGAGAUUUAUUUUGAAAUGUGUGUCCAUAAAGUGCAAUUACAGGAUGUUUUAAAGUAAGUCUGAAUGCAGAUGAGCUGACAAGGGGGCUUUGAAUAAUUUUGCACAUUGGGCAAACUGUUAAUUUACAUUAAAGCGGAAUUUGGUUAGUGAGAAAACUUCUAAUUUUAUAAUUGGUCACAAUAUUGUUUGCUUCCAUUUCAUAUGUGUUGUUUUACACGUUUAAUAUCUUACACCUCGUAUUUAUUUCUCUUGUUGCUUUUGUUUGUUAGUAUAAUUUGUUCCUUCCUUCGUGUAUUUCAGUAUAACUUAAUAUACUUUUGCUAUAAAGAAAAUUCUAGUGCAAAAUAAAAUCUAGCCCAGUCACUAAUUGUAAUAGCAGUGAGCCAUGGAGAACAAUCCCCCACCCACCAAUUCAGUGCAAAAUUCCUGUUGACUUAAUGGAAGCAAUAUUAGGUUUUAGAAUUUGCCAAAUUAAUAUAUAAGAUGAAGACAAAAAUGACUUUGUGGUGCAAGCAAGAUGUGAAAAAAGGGUGUCUUAGUUAGUAAAUGAUCACUUGGGAAAUUUUAUAUAAACUUCAUGGUGAAAUCAGACAAUUCCAGACUUGUGAGAGAAGCAAAAUGUUCUUUGCUAUAACUUCAUUGUUAACUUGAGCAAACAGUUAAAUUAUCAGUAUUUUGCAUUAUCAAAUAUAUACCUUACUCUGUUGUAACUUUGAAAUCUGUCAUUCACUACCCUCUACAGAUUACAUGAUCUUUUUUUCUUUCUUUCAGUCCCUUCUGUAGUCGACCCUAUUUUUGCCACAAGUAUGUUUAGCCGGUUUUAUAUCCCCAAGUCUAACCUUCUGUGUUGGAAGAACUUCCUUGUCUGUCAUUGGUGUAAAUAGUAGUCAUAAUAGCUGGUCUGUUGAAAUUAUUUUUAGGGGAAAAUUGUGCUUUCUCCAAAAACUGCUGUUGUCAGGGUUGAUUCCUUGAUGAUAAGUGUGGUUAUUCACUGCAUUUUCAGGUAAUACACUUUGUUAUUUUUUUCUCUCUUUGGAUCAUUUGGUAUCUGGUUUGAUUCAGUUUCCACUAAGUAGUAAUUUAUCACAUAAUUUUUCAUUUUAUGGGGUCAGGAGCACAUCUGUUCUGACAUUUGCCCCUACACACAGAGUCAGUGAAGACAACUGAAUCCAUUACAUCAUACUUUUAUGGUCUAAAAGGCUCAUUAAAUAUUGAACCAUUUUUAUGGAUUUCAAUUUGAACCAGAUUCCAAGAAGCAGUGAAUGAAAAUGAAAAUGAAAAUUACUCUUUACCCCUUGCCCUUUUUUUAAGUAAUCAGAGAAUUCAGGAAUAGAAAAGCCCUAUUGGUCAUCACAUCCUGUCCUCAGCAAGAAUCGAUUGAUUCCCUUUUUUCUGGAUUGCUUUUUCUUGGUUAAUGGAAAUUCUGACAAAGUCUUCAUAAUUCAUCUCCAGGUUACUUGUAGAAAGAAAUAAGCUUAAUCUUACUGUGGUAAGUUUCCUCUGGGUAGUAUGUUUCAGUGAUGUAAAAUUCCGUUUUAUGAUAACAGGUACAAUAAACUUUUUAUUUCUAACCAAAAGCUACGAUGAUCUUCAUUGCAUGGAUAGCAAAUCAGAAGUAGAUAGUAACAUUGUUUUCAAAGACAAGAAAUAAAAUUCUGAACUUUUGCAAUGCAGAAAUAAAGUGCCAUUGUGCAUCAGACUAGACUUCAGUAUCAGAACAGGGAAAUGGAAUAAUGCACCGUACUGUUGGAAGGAAGAAAGAAUCAUCCUAGAUGCAGACAUAGCUGCAAGUCUGCCUUAUUGUGACUUGUGUUAGAUUUGAUAAGAAGGAUUUUACAGUUACUCUUCAGGAGAACAGUUAAUCUUCUGUGCACUCCUAAUAAUACAGUCUUGAAGAAUAUAGAUAUGCCUUAAAGAAUAUAGAUGUAAACUAAAAUUAUUUGGUUGGUUUUACUACUUGCUCACUUAGAUGCUCAGAUUUUUAGAAAAACAUUAGCACUAUGUUUCCUAAGGCAGUAUCUUAGUCAGAACCACUGUCAUCAAUACUUAGCCAUUGUAUUAAAGAAUACUUUUGUUUCAAAGCUAGACCAUCAAACAAUUUUUUAUUUUAUAAGAAGCAUUUGCCUAUUGGUUUCCAGGCAGGAGAGUCUUAGUCCAUCUCCAUGUUUUCUUUUUUUUCUAUUUUUUUAUCAGUACUUGAAUAAUAAGAUAUUCUUAACCCCCUAGGGCAAACUCUUUGACUUCCUCUCUCUGGCAGAUGGGUUUUACCCAUGUAUUGUUUCUUGAAAUGUUUAUGCUGUCACACAUAUGAUAUCUUUCUCAGCUAGAAAAAUACAUUUUUUUUGUUUGCUGCUUGUCUUAGUGAUUUCAAAGUGCUUGCACCUUCCAUUAACUCGAAAAAAUAUUACUUGAAAGUAUUUUGUCUUGCUUUGGGGAAUAUCAAAGCUGAAGUUUAGCAAGUCAAACAUCUUUUAUGAAUGGUGCUUUUUUUGUUUGAAUAGGAAGCUUGUUCUCUUAAAAUAGUAAAAAAAACCCCAAAGUUAAAGAUGCCUCUUUUCUAAGAAUUUUGCGUGAGUUUUUCUUCAGAGGAACUUUUAAUCAUAUCCUGAAUCUUAUUUGCAGUUUAUUUUGAAUUCCAAGUCUUGACAUAUUUUGAUGUUGUUGGUUUCCUUAAGAUUUCUAAAUAAGCUUGGUUUACUCCUAGCAUCACAUGCUACUGGUUUUGAAAGUCAAUGCUUGUUUCCAUUGUGUAACACUGAUAGAGCUACUGUUGAGUCAUUGAGUAAAGAGCACCAGAAUGUCCAAGUGGGGAAAACAAAAUGCAUUAAAAAUUGUGGAGGUCCACCAACUCUGUAAUGCUUAUGAUCUGAAAUAUAGUUUGCAUCAGAACUCAAUUCUGCCUGUGUUAAUUAUGCACAGCACUGGACAUAAAUGGGCUGCUUUCUAGCAUGAAAGCCAUGCCUAAAAUGACAGAAAAAGAAUCAUUGGAUUUAAAAGACAUGGGUUGAAUCAGAUCACAAGUGGAAUUUUGCAUGAAGCUUAAGAGGGUUUUUCUAUCAGGAAAAUGAAAACAUUUGAUGUAAAGUAAUUCCCCAAAGGGGAGUGCACUGAUAAAGGCCAGACACUGUUCCCACUCUGAGAAACAGCCACAGUCUGUGAAUUCACCUCAGCUGGCUAACUCCCACUUGGAAUGAUUAAAUGCACUAUAGCAGACCUCUCUGCAGUCUCACCAAGGCCUGGGAAUUUGAAAUUCCUCAUCCAUCCUACACUGGGAGCUGUAGCUGGGUUGCAGACCAUACAUAAGCCCUGCUCUAGCUGCACGCUUACAGCAGCAGUUGAGCAGCACACUUAGCAGCAUUGUAGCAGUGCUGCUAACAGCAGAGGCCCCCACAGUUGCUUCCUCCUCCCCACCCACAGAAGUGUUCUCCAGCAGCUCCACAGGGUAACAGGGCUGGCAUCCCAUGGUACAUGUGGCAGCCAAGUAACAAGAUGGAGUCCCUCAUGACAUACAGUGUUAGAAGGGUUAGACCAGGUGCUCUUGUGGAUUUAUCAUUGAGUGUCUGAAAUGCAAUUGCGUAUCUCCACCUGAGCUGGCUCAAAUCUUGCUGUUGGCUAGUCAACAGUGCACAAAUCUGGGUUGAAUAAAAGUGGAACCAUAAAUUUAGACAGGAGCAGGAACUGGCAACUAAUAAUUGUCACUUUUAGUGCUCUCUCAGCUGUUCAAGCAACCAUUUUUGAAGCUGUGCUGUAAAUAGGAUAACUCGAUCCAGAUUUAAUUUAAAAGUUCUGUCUAAAAUAAUUAUUUUUAAACAUAAUUAUUCCAUUGAUUAAGUUCACACUCUGCUCCCACAAACAGUUGCAUUGGCACCAUUGCAGCAUUGGUAGACUGUGACACACAGAUGGUGUGGAAAGAAGGAAGGCAGGCUGCUGGAUAGCUAUUUUGUCAGUGAGGACAAUAGCCCUGAGUAAUUCUAACCUUCCUCUGAACCACAGACUCUCCCAUCAAUUUCACUUUCUGAUCCCUCACGAUCAGCCCUUUUCAGACUGUGCCUAUAGCCAGAUUACAUGCUUGUUAAUGUCUGGUCUGUGCACUAGUAGAUCAUCUAAUGGUAAUAAAUUGAUCAAGAUCAAAUAGGAGCAGGUAAUCACAUUCCUGUCAAGUUUAGCCAGUUAUGAGUUACAGGGUUUAGACCAAGCUUUAUCUUGGCUUUGCACUGCUGGCAGGAAGACAGAUCAUGCCAACUCUAGUGUAAAAUCAUCAAGAGUAAAACAACUCUCCAUUUCUUGCUUUGUGAGGGUUUUGUUUUUCAAAUAACUUUGUACUGGUGGGUUGAAUUUAUUAAAAUAAUUUUGUGCCAUGUUGCCACCCAAAACCUAAAUUUAUUGUAUGAUGAAAUUGCAGUUGUAUGCUGAUGAAAGUAUGCCUUCAGCUUCUCUUGUAGGUUAUUUUUUUGAUACAUAGCUCCUGUUGAGUCCAGGUGCAGAGGGGAGGGGAUUCCUUGUUAAAAGGUGAUGUGUAAUAUUUUAAAUUCUUACCAUCUCUAACCAAGAAAGGUCCCUAUUUAUCCCAACUACUGCAGUUGUAAAGAAACACCCGGGGGUCAGAGGCAAAAAAACAUCACUUAAGUCCUUUCCCUCAUGGCUGUAUAUACUAUUUUAUUAUUUUCAUAUCCUCCUGGAUAUAAGAGUAAUCCCAUACAUUUCUAUACUAAAACAAAAAAAAAAUUGUAUUUUCUUACUAUAAAAAAUGCACUUUCAAUUUUAAAAGCAGACUUUUACUUUAAUUGUCUUUUCCUGCUGUAUUUCUCUGUAUAGUUUCAAAGAAAGAAAAAACUGCCUCCAAGAGGAUGUUAAGGGAGGGACAAAGUUAAAACUUGGCAUGCACUAAACCAAAUAAUUUUUGCAAGGAAAUGGAGGAGACGGGUCAAAUUAAUUCCUUAUGUAACUCCAUUUACCUCAGUGGAGUUAAAUACAGGAUGAAUUUGGUACCUUAUACCUCUGUGGUCAGAAAGGAUUUCUGUGACCUUAGUCAGCACCAUAUAAAAUAAUAAUUCUUAAGAUAUAAAAUUAUAAUUUACAUCUGAUAGAACUGCCCCUGUUAUUUUUAGUCUAUUAAUAUAACUGUAAAAGAACAAUAGGUCUACAGAACAACAGCAAAAACAGCUUCAUAAAAAGAUUAGUACAUGAUGAUUUGCAGCUUACAUCCAUAGUAACAGUUUUUUGUGGAAAUGAGGAAUUCAUGACAGACUGCUAAUAUGGGCAGUGGCAGCAGGGACAGUUUCCAUUUCUUGUAAGUUCCAAAUACUUUUCACCAGUUUGCUGCAUUGCAAAUUUAACUUUUUUCCUCUCAUCUCAUUCUUCUCCCCUGACCACCCGUUAUUUACUUCUCCUUUCCCUCUGGUUUGAGUUCCACUGUGUGUGCAGGGGCAUCUGCAGCUUCUUACUGCUGAGUUUUCUAGAUUUUUCUCUUCAGGUAGAAAUAUUCAACCUCUGGGGACAGGUGAAGGAGAGAUGUUUGGUCUCCACCAUAAUGUCUUUUUGGAUUUUAAAUUUCAAUGUGCUUCAAUUUGAGAUGCUUUAAAAUAACACAUUUUCACUGUGAGAACCCAGCCUCCAUGUGCCAUUCUGUAGUACUCAAAUAUAGCUGUACCCAGAGAUUAUUUCCCUUUUAAAACUUUGUUAUGAAACAUUAACCACUGCCUCCUCACCCCACUCCCAAAUUCAGGAAAUACUUUUUGUAUCAAUAUGUGAACAACUUUUAAUAGUGUCAUGCAAAAGCAUCUAUAUAGUAUAUUAGUGCGAUGAAAUUGAAGUCAACAGUCUGUCUUUUUUAUCCUUACCAACUUGCAACUAUCUUUUUUAAUAUAGAGGAAAGGAUUUGUGUAUACAUGCAUAUAAAAGAUGUGAAAAUACAAAGGCAUUUAUUGAAAACAGACAAAACCAGGAAGAUGAUAAAACAGCAGAAGGAAGUGGCCUCAGAAAUAACUCUUGCUUUGUAUAGCAGAAUUUAUCACUAAACCUAAGGCUGGCAAGCUGCCAUGCUUCAGAUAAAACAAGCAAUGUAAUAUUAAAAAAAAUUAAGUGUACAAAAUACAGUAGAUGCAUUUGAAAAGCUGAUGUCCUAGAAAGUAAUUAAAUGUUUUUUGUUUCUCUUUUUAAAAAAUAUGUAUCUUUAAAAGCUUCAUUGUAUUUUCAGAUACCAGCAAUCUCAGCUGUACAGAUGUAGGCUCUCUGAGGAUGUCUGCAUCAGGUGUGCCAGUCAGCAGGAUGUAGGAAAUUCCCAAAUAUCCAAAAUUAAAGAAAGAUGGUGGAGAUACAUUUUGAAAGCAAAACAUUUGCUUUAGCAAAUUAGCAGAACUAUUAAAACAUGUUCUGUGAAAAAAUUAUUCACAGAUUUAAAAGCUACUGCACAAUUUUAAUCCACAAAGAGACUCAAGUAAAUGUGUACUGCUCAACAUCCUCACACUGGAUAAAGGAUAUUUUUUUAACAUAGUAUCUUCUGUAUUUCCUUGUAUUUUGGGAAUUGGGGGAAAUCAAAAGCUUUAGGAAAUAACAGUUCACUUAUACCUGAAAGACUUUUCAUAUAAAUGUUUUUGAAGUCUGCUGUUGACUGCAAACACUUCAAAAGCAUGAGAAUCUAGGAUAUUUAGGUCAGCAUUGUACCAGCUGAGAAAAAAUGAAUUAUUUUCUGCAAGGUUGUUUUCUCCUCUCUAGCCUGGUGAGGCCUGCAUCCUGGUAUUCCUGCUAGAAGAGAGAGCCUUUUCAGAAGAAGAUGGAUAAUAAGCACAGCUAAAUUCUCAUGACAAAUAAAAUUGCGCUGUUGCUCUUUAUCUGUAGGGCUUUUCUGGAGCUCAGCAUGUUUGGAAGACUCCAAACCUGAAAAACAAGAUGGCAGAUUAUUAUAAUUAAAAUAAAGAGGUUUUUUCAACAUCUUAAUUCCAUUUGCAAUGUAAAUGGGCUGUUAUCUGAGUACUAUUUAUAUUCUUAAGUAAUGUCUAAUUUUCUCACAGUGAGAAACCUUUUUUAACUUGUUGACAAGAGCAGUUAUCUCCUUCACAGAUUACAUAAUUUCAUCAAGUAUUAGGCAUUUCUUAUAUUUGAAUCAUCCAUGUCUUGAUUGCUAUGGAAAUUCUAUGGAAUUUCCAGAUUUACUCUUUAUGAAGAACAGUAGCCUGGUAGUUGUAGCUGCUGCUUUUUCCUGAAAUGCUCUGGACUUGCCUCAUAAUUUAUACAAAGUUCUCCUUUCUAUAAAUGUUCUAUUUAAUUCUGACUUAUUGAAGCUGAGAUAUACAGAUAUGAGUUAAAAAGAGAUAAGUUCCUCUUCAUAUUCUUCAGCUAAAAUAAUGAAAAACUGUUUUAAAACUAUUAGAAAGGAGAUAAUACUGUUUUAAUAAGCUUGUGAAACUGCAAGUAAUGCAGAUAAAUGCAGAUAGAGCAGUCUUCUCAGAAACCUAAACUGCUAAUCAUUUAAAGAUCUUAUUCCAGAAUGCUGACCACAGGCAACAGGAAUGAGUAAAGAAGCAUCUUUAGCACCAUGGGAUUUUGAAGACCCAUAUUAAUCCCAAAAGAAAAAAGAAAGGUGUAAUUUUAGCAUGUUCAACAUAGAACUCAGGGAUGUUUCUAUUCUUUGCUACUGGACUUCCUUAUCAUGUAUGGAAAGAAUGAAGAAAGUUAUUCUUGAGCUAAACAAACAAAGGUAUUAAUGCAUAUCUGUGUUUAUAUGUAAAUAUUUUAUAUAUUAUUAUAUAUAAAUGCAGUCAGAAAACCACAGUUUUGUAUUUUAUGCUGAAUAAAUGGUCUUUUAC